rnacentral:rRNA from 1 species
CGUUUCUCCGCCGGCGACCGGCGCACGGGUGAGUAACACGUAUGCAACCUGCCCCUGUCAGGGGGACAACCCGCCGAAAGGCGGGCUAAACCCGCGUACAUGCCACCGGGGCAUCCCGGAGGCAGGAAAGGCUUCGGCCGGACAGGGAUGGGCAUGCGGCGCAUUAGGCAGUAGGCGGGGUAACGGCCCACCUAACCGACGAUGCGUAGGGGUUCUGAGAGGAAGGUCCCCCACACUGGUACUGAGACACGGACCAGACUCCUACGGGAGGCAGCAG